AACGAACGCUGGCGGCAUGCCUAACACAUGCAAGUCGAACGAGACCUUCGGGUCUAGUGGCGCACGGGUGCGUAACGCGUGGGAACCUGCCCUUAGGUUCGGAAUAACUCCCCGAAAGGGGUGCUAAUACCGGAUAAUGUCUUCGGACCAAAGAUUUAUCGCCCUUGGAUGGGCCCGCGUUGGAUUAGCUAGUUGGUAGGGUAAAAGCCUACCAAGGCGACGAUCCAUAGCUGGUCUGAGAGGAUGAUCAGCCACACUGGGACUGCGACACGGCCCAGACUCCUACGGGAGGCAGCAGUGGGGAAUAUUGGACGAUGGGCGAAAGCCUGAUCCAGCAAUGCCGCGUGAGUGAUGAAGGCCUUAGGGUUGUAAAGCUCUUUUACCCGGGAUGAUAAUGACAGUACCGGGAGAAUAAGCUCCGGCUAACUCCGUG
rnacentral:rRNA from 1 species